UACGUAGGGGGCAAGCGUUGUCCGGAAUCAUUGGGCGUAAAGAGCGUGUAGGCGGCCCGGUAAGUCCGCUGUGAGAGUCGGGGGCUCAACCCUCGAAUGCCGGUGGAUACUGUCGGGCUAGAGUGCGGAAGAGGCGAGUGGAAUUCCUGGUGUAGCGGUGAAAUGCGCAGAUAUCAGGAGGAACACCAAUUGCGAAGGCAGCUCGCUGGGACGUAACUGACGCUGAGACGCGAAAGCGUGGGGAGCAAACAGG
rnacentral:rRNA from 1 species